AACACUGGAACCUCAAUCCAUUGAGACAUCAGGAAACUCCCUGAAAAUUCUUUAAAUCUCAUCUAUAAGUUUUUCUACAGGAUCAACUACAUAUAUUAAGAAACCUAAUACAAGUAAAACAAAACAGUGACUUCAAUCCCUAUGGGCUGUUGUCUUGAAGUCAUGGCAAAGCUCUGAUGUAAACACCCUUGUACCUUGGGUAUCCUGGGGAUGGAGGCUCUGCUCACCUGUGGACAGGUGCUCAUACCGUGGACAGGUGCUCAGACCAUGGAUUGCCCUGUGAAUCAAGUGGGCCCUGAGGAGAGAGUGAGCUUAAAGACCUGAGGACAAAGGUAUACUUGGGUAGAAUUUUAGGGGUAACUUUUCAACUCUGAAACCACCACAUGACUGUCUGCAUGGCUGCAGUAUGUGCUCUACUCAACAAAACAUCCAAGCCAAUCCCAGAAUAAUCUCAGACUCUAGGAAUUGGCCCAUGGAAGCCCACAAUUCUGGAUGUUCCUUUUCCAAACUGUCACACUAUGCAGAGGACUCAGGUGUGCUAUGCGUGACAUCCUAACUCAGUUCUAUUGAAAACAAGUCUGUGGGAGCAACAUCAGCAGCAACAACAACAAAAAAAAAACUUGUUAAAUAUGCCAUUUCAUAGGCCUCAUGGAAAGCCUUCAAAAUCAUAACUUCUUAGAAUGGGACCCUGAUCCUUAAGAGAUUUGUAUGCACUUUAAAGCUUCAGAAGGAAGUCUUAGCUAAGUAGUUCCAAGCCAGUUUCUCGUUAGGGUCACAUGAUGAGUAUUGAGAAAUGAUAUCACCUGUGCCCUCCCCUCUGAGUCUGUCCAUUGAUCUGGGUGGAAACAUCAAUACUAUUCUAAUUAACUUAACUGCUCCAGGUGCUUCUAGGGUGAGAUCAGGAUUAACCGUGAGAGUGACUGCGUAUAUCUGUGAGAGCUGCAUCCAGGCUUUGGUCCAAGGAGAGAUAACAGAAUCUGCUCUACUUCGGUUUAGAAAUGACAGAAAUUUAUCUAUUGAAAUAAGCCUUGAAGUACUGGGAGAGGGGAGAUUUGACAUGGAGGUGAGUGUGAUUUUUCAUUUUAUGUGGUUCUUUAUCUUACCAAGAGCAGCGAAAUAG
ensembl:lncRNA